rnacentral:lncRNA from 1 species
GCUUGGUAAGUAUGCCAUAAGGUAGCAAUAAACAGUUAGGAAAAAUUAUUAAAAUUUGCCCUUAUAAAUUUUACCAUCCCCUUUUCAUUGCUUUCUUGCAAUACUAAGCUUAAUAUUUGUGUCAUAUAUGUGCAUAUGUAUGUAAUCAGAAUCUUCCAUAGAUUUUAUAUCCAGUAUAUAAAAUGGUAAAAUAUAAUUUCUUUUGGGUGUAUCCAUGGCAACAAUCUGCACUUAUUUGCUAUAAAAUAUUGCAAAAAGGGGGGAAAAGAUGUCACAUAUUUCCCCAAAAUUUGGCUAAAAGUAGAAUUUCAAUCGCUUGAAGUAAUACCUUUUCUGAAACUGUGUAC